AAGAUUUUGAUUCAUCUUCCCCCAUAAAUAGAGCGAAUGUGGAGGUGUCAAGUGUUCCGCAAUAUUAUUAUAAUUCAACACACACCACAAGUAGUCGGAAGUUUAGCGGAAGCCAAAAUGACGAGGCAUGCAAUCGAUUCAACAACAUUUUAAAGAAGCAAGAAGAUUUUGUAGCAGCAAAGAACAACUCACCAUAUGCACAAGUCCUUGCUAGUUUUGACUGGUUGUUGAAUAAGCUUCCACGGCCAGUUGGUGAUGAUAUGUGUAUGGAAUUUUACAGUAUGCUGUUACAGAAAGUUAAUGAACUUAAACCAAAAAAUUAAAACAAAUACCUUUUUAUACUCACUUAUCUUCUGAUUAGUUAUGAAAUAAAUAAACACGAAAUUUGGAAA